AUACUAUUUCCUGAUGACAUUUCUGCUAUUGCUAUUGUCAUAGGACGCGAUGGCAGACGACCUUUGGGAGAACACCAAUCAUCUGCCCAGGGAGCUCCCGUGAAGUCCAAGUUUGCCGAAUCCAAGCUCCCAAAGUUCAAGUUCUUGCCUGAGCACAGGUCUCCAAAACCCCAGGUGAACAGGCUGAUCAGCAAGUACAUCGACUACCUCAACACGAUCCAGGCCAAGAGGGAGGACACUUUCAACACCCUACAGGACCAGAACAUGAGCAAGGAGUCGCUGGCGAACGCGAGCAAGACGAUGAACAAGAAGCUGCACGCCAUGGUCAAGUCGGCGAAAGAAGACUUGAGCGAAAUCGUGAAGCUGGGCGGCAAUGCGCCGGCGGUCCCUGCCCGGUUCGAUACCGAUGUCAAGGUUCCUCCCCGUGGAUAG
rnacentral:rRNA from 1 species